AUUGAACGCUGGCGGCAGGCCUAACACAUGCAAGUCGAGCGAGCGGCGGACGGGUGAGACAUGCCUGGGAAUUGCCCAGUCGAGGGGGAUACCAGUUGGAACCGACUGCUAAUCCCGCAUACGACUUGUUUCCAUAGGUGAGAUUAGCUAGUUGGUGUGGUAACGGCUCACCAAGGCGACGAUCCCUAGCUGGUCUGAGAGGAUGAUUAGCCACACUGGAACUGAGACACGGUCCAGACUCCUACGGGAGGCAGCAGUGGGGAAUAUUGCACAAUGGACGAAAGCCUGAUGCAGCCAUGCCGCGUGUGUGAAGAAGGCCUUCGGGUUGUAAAGCACUUUCAGCGGGGAGGCGGUACUCGCAGAAGAAGCACCGGCUAACUCCGUUGCAGCAGCCGGGGUAAUAC
rnacentral:rRNA from 1 species